UAGCUCAGUCGGUAGAGCAGGGGAUUGAAAAUCCCCGUGUCCUUGGUUCGAUUCCGAGUCCGGGCACCA
rnacentral:tRNA from 5 species